rnacentral:rRNA from 1 species
UAAUACGGAGGGUGCAAGCGUUAAUCGGAAUUACUGGGCGUAAAGCGCGCGUAGGCGGUUUGUUAAGUCGGAUGUGAAAGCCCCGGGCUCAACCUGGGAAUGGCAUUCGAUACUGUCAAGCUAGAAUGUGGAAGAGGGAAGUGGAAUUUCCGGUGUAGCGGUGAAAUGCGUAGAUAUCGGAAGGAACACCAGUGGCGAAGGCGGCUUCCUGGUCCAACAUUGACGCUGAGGUGCGAAAGCGUGGGGAGCGAACAGGAUUAGAUACCCUGGUAGUCCACGCCGUAAACGAUGAGAACUAGAUGUCGGGGGAAUUUGUCCUUCGGUGUCGCAGCUAACGCGUUAAGUUCUCCGCCUGGGGAGUACGGUGGCAACACUA